UUUACUAAUUUGCCCGCCAGAAAAUUACACGCGAAAGCACAAAAUUCAAAGGACUUGACGGUGUUCCACAUCAACCUAGAGGAGCUUGUCCCGUAACCGAUAAUCCACGUUAAACCUUACCUAUCCUUGCAAAAUCAGCCUAUAUACCGCCGUCGCCAGCCCAUCCAAUGAUAGAAUAUAAAUGGACAAAACUGUAUAAACCACAAAAACGUCAGGUCAAGGUGUAGCUUAUGGAUAGGCUGAGAUGAGCUACAUUUUUUAAUACUAAAAAACUACUGCAAGCAACAUGAAACACGAGCCUUAAAGGUGGAUUUAGCAGUAAACUUGGCAAGAUAUAUGCCACGUUGAAAUUUGCUCUGGAACGCGUACAC
rnacentral:rRNA from 1 species